UUUCUCGAAGAAGUGUUAUCAUUUUAACACAGGAGUUGAAAAUUCCCGGGAAAGUUGUUUCGUUUUGUGUUAAAACCGGAAGUACAUAAAUUUGGCAAACAUAUUUGGUUUAUUUAUUCAAAAUAGAAAAAUGACAUGCCUGCAUAUGUGCAUCAGAAAUAGACUAUUGAAAGCCUCCUCAAACCACCUAAGGCAUUAUGUUACGCAUACAAAUUCAGGAAGUAUUUACAAACCUUUACUCAAGGGAAGUGAAACAUAUACAUUAAUUGGACAAGCUACAAGAAAUAUAACCACAUUUCAUCAUUUCUACAGAGGACUUAAACAUUGUAAAGUGCGUAAAAGUCGCCAUUGUGUAGCAGUAUCAACUUGCUUUGACUUUCAUACAACCCCUCGAUAUCGUGUGAAUCCUGUAUUCUGGUUGGCUAUUAAACAAGUGGGGAAAUUAGGGGCUAUAAUAACAGGAAGGAGUCUCAGGAAAUAUUGGAAGAGGCUACCUAAAGAUGAUAAGAGGACUGUGAUGCAACUGUUGAGAAAUAAUCGGAACAAGAUCUGGGCAGCUGUUGGAGCUCUUGUAUUACUUAUGGGCAUUAACUAUGCAACCCAUCUACAAACAACUCCCCUCACCAACAGGACUCGCUACAUAGCAUUCACAGAGGAACAGUUUAUGAAGAUUGUGCAGUAUGAAGCAGAUGGAUAUAUGGAAACAUUUAAGGAUAAAAUACUUUCCUCAAGGCACCCUGACUAUCAACGCGUUGUAAGGGUUGCAAGUAGAAUAGUGGAGGGCAAUAGGGACAUUGAAAAGAUGAAAAAUUUGAAAUGGACUGUAGUUGUGGUAGACGACCCAGAGAAGAAUGCAUUUGUUUUGCCUUCAGGACAUAUAUUUGUGUUCAGAGGAAUGCUUGAAACAUGUCAGAAUGAUGACCAGCUGGGUAUUAUCUUGGGACAUGAAAUGGCACAUGCUCUCUUGGAACAUGGGGCAGAACAAGUGAGCUAUGCAAACAUAUUGGACGUUGUUGUUAUAUUCAUUAUGGCUGGGAUCUGGUUCUUUAUGCCUACAGAUGGGAUAGCAUUGGUUACACAAUGGUUCUACAACAAAGUCAUCCAUUUGAUGUUUUCACUGCCAUUUAGUCGCAUGAUGGAGACAGAGGCUGAUGAAAUAGGACUACAGCUCUGUGCUAAGGCAUGCAUGGAUGUACGAGAAAGCCCAGCCUUUUGGCGAUUGAUGCACAUGCUCCAGACUGCAAAGAACAAAACAGAGGAGAGUGGAGUCACUGAGUUGGCUCUUGAUGUCCCCCAGCUCCUUUCAACCCAUCCUUCACAUGCUACUAGGGCAGACAACCUCAAUGACCUUGUACCUCAGGCUAUUAAACUUCGAGCUGAUUGCAAUUGCCCAAGGCUGCCAACUGCUGACCCCAGAGAUGCAAUACAAAAGCUGGAAGCCAGUAUGGAACACGCUAUCAAAAAUAAACAGUUGCAGAAAUUGGGAAUGGCUAUCAAAUCUGAUGUUGUUAAACCUUUUAAUCAAUCUGCAGUGUCAACAUCCUAAACCUUGAAAGCAUGUUUUUGAAUCCAAUAAGUUUGCGUUGAAAGAUAACCUAUAAGUUAUUUGAGGAUGGAACUGCUCAACUGGAAUAAUUUUAGUGAUAUGUAGUUUCAGAAGUAGGGGUUCCUACAGACUGAAAUUCAGGGAAUUAUUUUUCUAGCAUCUAGAAAUGUCAGGGAAGUUAGUUCAAAAAGGGCCUAAAAUAUUGGAGCUUAUGCAAACUAUAAAAUGGUUCAAGAGAAUUUAGGUAGCCAAAAAUUUACAAAAAAGCAUGUUUAUAAUAUAAAGUUAUCAACUAGAUACAUGGACUGUAUCUUUAUCUUUUAAUCUGCAAGGGGUAUUGGGGUUUUAGAGAAUACACCUUGCUAAAAUCACUGAAAGAUGAACACAUAUUCACCUCAACAGAUUGAAAUAUUUUUACAGUACUAUUUUAUAAUGUUGCCAUAGUAUUAUUUUGUGAAAUACUUGUACAGUAAAACCUG
rnacentral:misc_RNA from 1 species